GAGGCUAUAGUUCAGUGGCAGAACACUUGCCUAGCAUGCAUGAGGCACUGGGUUUGAUCCUCAGCACCACA
rnacentral:tRNA from 1 species